rnacentral:rRNA from 1 species
UCAGAUUGAACGCUGGCGGCAGGCCUAACACAUGCAAGUCGAGCGCGAAAACACUUCGGUGUGAGUAAAGCGGCGGACGGGUGAGUAACGCGUAGGAAUCUACCUAGUAGUGGGGGACAACUCGGGGAAACUCGAGCUAAUACCGCAUACGCCCUACGGGGGAAAGCGGGGGACCUUCGGGCCUCGUGCUAUUAGAUGAGCCUGCGUUGGAUUAGCUAGUUGGUGGGGUAAAGGCCUACCAAGGCGACGAUCCAUAGCUGGUCUGAGAGGAUGAUCAGCCACACCGGGACUGAGACACGGCCCGGACUCCUACGGGAGGCAGCAGUGGGGAAUAUUGCGCAAUGGGCGAAAGCCUGACGCAGCCAUGCCGCGUGUGUGAAGAAGGCCUUCGGGUUGUAAAGCACUUUCAAUUGGGAGGAAAGGUUCACGACUAAUACUCGUGAGCUGUGACGUUA